rnacentral:rRNA from 1 species
AACGAACGCUGGCGGCAUGCCUAACACAUGCAAGUCGAACGAGACCUUCGGGUCUAGUGGCGCACGGGUGCGUAACGCGUGGGAACCUGCCUUUAGGUUCGGAAUAACUCAGAGAAAUUUGAGCUAAUACCGGAUGAUGUCCUCGGACCAAAGAUUUAUCGCCUUUAGAUGGGCCCGCGUUGGAUUAGCUAGUUGGUGGGGUAAAGGCCUACCAAGGCGACGAUCCAUAGCUGGUCUGAGAGGAUGAUCAGCCACACUGGGACUGAGACACGGCCCAGACUCCUACGGGAGGCAGCAGUGGGGAAUAUUGGACAAUGGGCGAAAGGCUGAUCCAGCAAUGCCGCGUGAGUGAUGAAGGCCUUAGGGUUGUAAAGCUCUUUUACCCGAGAUGAUAAUGACAGUAUCGGGAGAAUAAGCUCCGGCUAACUCCGUG